rnacentral:rRNA from 1 species
AUUGAACGCUGGCGGCAUGCUUUACACAUGCAAGUCGAACGGCAGCACGGGCUUCGGCCUGGUGGCGAGUGGCGAACGGGUGAGUAAUAUAUCGGAACGUACCCAGAAGUGGGGGAUAACGUAGCGAAAGUUACGCUAAUACCGCAUACGAUCUAUGGAUGAAAGCAGGGGACCGCAAGGCCUUGUGCUCCUGGAGCGGCCGAUAUCUGAUUAGCUAGUUGGUGAGGUAAAGGCUCACCAAGGCGACGAUCAGUAGCUGGUCUGAGAGGACGACCAGCCACACUGGGACUGAGACACGGUCCAGACUCCUACGGGAGGCAGCAGUGGGGAAUUUUGGACAAUGGGCGCAAGCCUGAUCCAGCAAUGCCGCGUGAGUGAAGAAGGCCUUCGGGUUGUAAAGCUCUUUUGUCAGGGAAGAAACGGUAGAGGCUAAUAUCCUGUGCUAAUGACGGUACCUGAAGAAUAAGCACCGGCUAACUACGUG